rnacentral:rRNA from 1 species
CCUACGGGAGGCAGCAGUGGGGAAUAUUGCGCAAUGGGCGAAAGCCUGACGCAGCGACGCCGCGUGAGGGAUGAAGGUCUUCGGAUCGUAAACCUCUGUCAGCAGGGAAGAACGGUCACUGUGCUAAUCAGCAGUGAAUUGACGGUACCUGCAAAGGAAGCACCGGCUAACUCCGUGCCAGCAGCCGCGGUAAUACGGAGGGUGCGAGCGUUAAUCGGAAUUACUGGGCGUAAAGCGCUCGUAGGCGGUAUGGCAAGUCAAGGGUGAAAUCCCCGCGCUCAACGUGGGAACUGCCUUUGAAACUGGCAGACUGGAGUGUGUGAGAGGAUAGUGGAAUUCCAGGUGUAGGAGUGAAAUCCGUAGAUAUCUGGAGGAACAUCAGUGACGAAGGCGACUAUCUGGCACAUAACUGACGCUGAGGAGCGAAAGCGUGGGUAGCAAACAGGAUUAGAUACCCGGGUAGUC